rnacentral:rRNA from 1 species
GCAAGUCGAACGGCAGCACGGGCUUCGGUCUGGUGGCGAGUGGCGAACGGGUGAGUAAUAUAUCGGAACAUACCCUAGAGUGGGGGAUAACGUAGCGAAAGUUACGCUAAUACCGCAUACGAACUAAGGUUGAAAGUGGGGGAUCGCAAGACCUCAUGCUCAUGGAGUGGCCGAUAUCUGAUUAGCUAGUUGGUGAGGUAAUGGCUCACCAAGGCGACGAUCAGUAGCUGGUCUGAGAGGACGACCAGCCACACUGGAACUGAGACACGGUCCAGACUCCUACGGGAGGCAGCAGUGGGGAAUUUUGGACAAUGGGGGCAACCCUGAUCCAGCAAUGCCGCGUGAGUGAAGAAGGCCUUCGGGUUGUAAAGCUCUUUUGUCAGGGAAGAAACGGUGAGUUCUAAUACAACUUGCUAAUGACGGUACCUGAAGAAUAAGCACCGGCUAACUACGUGCCAGUAGCCGCGGUAAUACGUAGGGUGCAAGCGUUAAUCGGAAUUACUGGGCGUAAAGCGUGCGCAGGCGGUUAUAUAAGUCAGAUGUGAAAUCCCCGGGCUCAACCUGGGAACUGCAUUUGAGACUGUAUGGCUAGAGUGUGUCAGAGGGGGGUAGAAUUCCACGUGUAGCAGUGAAAUGCGUAGAGAUGUGGAGGAAUACCGAUGGCGAAGGCAGCCCCCUGGGAUAACACUGACGCUCAUGCACGAAAGCGUGGGGAGCAAACAGGAUUAGAUACCCUGGUAGUCCACGCCCUAAACGAUGUCUACUAGUUGUCGGGACUUAAUUGUCUUGGUAACGCAGCUAACGCGUGAAGUAGACCGCCUGGGGAGUACGGUCGCAAGAUUAAAACUCAAAGGAAUUGACGGGGACCCGCACAAGCGGUGGAUGAUGUGGAUUAAUUCGAUGCAACGCGAAAAACCUUACCUACCCUUGACAUGGUUGGAAUUC